rnacentral:rRNA from 1 species
CCCUUAGAUGUUCUGGGCCGCACGCGUGCUACACUGACCGGUGCAACAAGUUUCUUUCCUUGGCUCGAUAGGCCUGGGUAAUCUUUGAACACCGGUCGUGAUGGGGAUAGAUCCUUGCAAUUUUUGAUCUUCAACGAGGAAUUCCUAGUAAAUGCGAGUCAUCAUCUCGCGUUGAUUACGUCCCUGCCCUUUGUACACACCGCCCGUCGCACCUACCGAUUGAAUGGUCCGGUGAAUAAUUCGGACUGCAGCACUGCUUGGUCUCCAGGCUUUGCAGCGGAAAGUUUAGUGAACCUUAUCACUUAGAGGAAGGAGAAGUCGUAACA